rnacentral:rRNA from 1 species
AGCGAACGCUGGCGGCAGGCCUAACACAUGCAAGUCGAACGAACCCUUCGGAGUUAGUGGCGGACGGGUGAGUAACACGUGGGAGCGUGACUUUAGGUUCGGAAUAACUCAGGGAAACUUGUGCUAAUACCGAAUGUGCCCUUCGGGGGAAAGCUUUAUCGCCUUUAGAGCGGACCGCGUCUGAUUAGCUAGUUGGUGGGGUAAAGGCUCACCAAGGCGACGAUCAGUAGCUGGUCUGAGAGGAUGAUCAGCCACAUUGGGACUGAGACACGGCCCAAACUCCUACGGGAGGCAGCAGUGGGGAAUCUUGCGCAAUGGGCGAAAGCCUGACGCAGCCAUGCCGCGUGAAUGAUGAAGGUCUUAGGAUUGUAAAAUUCUUUCACCGGGGACGAUAAUGACGGUACCCGGAGAAGAAGCCCCGGCUAACUUCGUGCCAGCAGCCGCCGCCG